UUCGUACUGUGUGCGUGGAGCGUGUGUGAUACGAAGGGUGCGAGGGUUACUCGGAAUUGCUGGGCGUAUAGCUUGGGUAGGUGGUGAGUGAAGUCUGCUGUUAAUGCCCUGGGCUCAACCUGGGAAUUGCAGUGGAUACUGGGUCACUAGAGUGUGGUAGAGGGAUGCGGAAUUUCUGGUGUAGCGGUGGAAUGCGUAGAUAUCAGGAGGAACACCGGUGGUGUAGACGGCUUUCUGGACCGACACUGACGCUGAGACACGAAAGCGUGGGUAGCAAACAGGAUUAGAUACCCGAGUAGUC
rnacentral:rRNA from 1 species